rnacentral:rRNA from 1 species
GACGAACGCUGGCGGCGUGCUUAACACAUGCAAGUCGAACGGAAAGGCCCUGCUUUUGUGGGGUGCUCGAGUGGCGAACGGGUGAGUAACACGUGAGUAACCUGCCCUUGACUUUGGGAUAACUUCAUGAAACUGGGGCUAAUACCGGAUAGGAGCUCCUGCUGCAUGGUGGGGGUUGGAAAGUUUCGGCGGUUGGGGAUGGACUCGCGGCUUAUCAGCUUGUUGGUGGGGUAGUGGCUUACCAAGGCUUUGACGGGUAGCCGGCCUGAGAGGGUGACCGGACACAUUGGGACUGAGAUAAGGCCCAGACUCCUACGGGAGGCAGCAGUGGGGAAUAUUGCACAAUGGGCGGAAGCCUGAUGCAGCAACGCAGCGUGCGGGAUGACGGCCUUCGGGUUGUAAACCGCUUUCGCCUGUGACGAAGCGUGAGUGACGGUAAUGGGUAAAGAAGCACCGGCUAACUACGUG